UACAGAGGGGGCAAGCGUUGUUCGGAAUUACUGGGCGUAAAGGGCGCGUAGGCGGCCUGCUAAGUCGAACGUGAAAUCCCUGGGCUCAACCCAGGAACUGCGUCCGAUACUGGUGGGCUUGAAUCCGGGAGAGGGAUGUGGAAUUCCAGGUGUAGCGGUGAAAUGCGUAGAUAUCUGGAGGAACACCGGUGGCGAAGGCGGCAUCCUGGACCGGUAUUGACGCUGAGGCGCGAAAGCCAGGGGAGCAAACGGG
rnacentral:rRNA from 1 species